rnacentral:rRNA from 1 species
UACAGAGGAGCCAAGCGUUGUCCGGAUUGACUGGGCGUAAAGCGCACGCAGGCGGACGCGCGCGUGGGGUGUGAAAUCUGGCCGCUUAACUGCCAGAGGCCAUCCCAUACGGCGCAACUCGAGCCAUGCAGAGGUCCACGGAAUUGCCGGUGUAGUGGUGAAAUGCGUAGAGAUCGGCAGGAACACCCAGGGGGAAACCAGUGGACUGGGCAUGUGCUGACGCUCAGGUGCGAAAGCGUGGGGAGCGAACCGG